rnacentral:rRNA from 1 species
CUCCGGUUGAUCCCGCCGGACCCGACUGCUAUCAGAGUGGGACUAAGCCAUGCGAGUCAACGUAGCAAUACGUGGCAUACGGCUCAGUAACACGUAGUCAACAUGCCCAGGGGACGAGGAUAACCUCGGGAAACUGAGGAUAAACCUCGAUAGGCCAUGAUUUCUGGAAUGAUUCUUGGCUCAAACCUAUAUGGCCCCUGGAUUGGACUGCGGCCGAUCAGGCUGUUGGUGAGGUAAUGGCCCACCAAACCUGUAACCGGUACGGGCUCUGAGAGGAGGAGCCCGGAGAUGGGCACUGAGACAAGGGCCCAGGCCCUAUGGGGCGCAGCAGGCGCGAAACCUCUGCAAUAGGCGAAAGCUUGACAGGGUUACUCUGAGUGAUUUCCGCUAAGGGAAUCUUUUGGCACCUCUAAAAAUGGUGCAGAAUAAGGGGUGGGCAAGUCUGGUGUCAGCCGCCGCGGUAAUACCAGCACCCCGAGUGGUCGGGACGAUUAUUGGGCCUAAAGCAUCCGUAGCCGGUCCUGCAAGUCUUCCGUUAAAUCCAGCUGCUCAACAGAUGGGCUGCGGGAGAUACUACAGGGCUAGGAGGCGGGAGAGGCAAGCGGUACUUUAUGGGUAGGGGUAAAAUCCGCUGAUCCAUAGAAGACCACCAGUGGCGAAGGCGGCUUGCCAGAACGCGCUCGACGGUGAGGGAUGAAAGCUGGGGGAGCAAACCGGAUUAGAUACCCGGGUAGUCCCAGCUGUAAACGAUGCAGACUCGGUGAUGGGUUGGCCUCGCGCCUGCCCAGUGCCGCAGGGAAGCCGUUAAGUCUGCCGCCUGGGGAGUACGGUCGCAAGACUGAAACUUAAAGGAAUUGGCGGGGGAGCA